UAAAAAAUGCAAUUUUCUACCCAGAAAAAAAAUAAAUUUAAACAUUAUUUGAAUUAAUUAGGCUUUACUAAGGUUGAUGAAUACAAGAUAAAUACAAAAAACCCCAACCUAUAACCUGUAUGCCAAUAAUAAGCAUUAGAAAUGCAAAGAGCGAAUAAAUGUAAUAAGAAAGGCAAAGACCUAUAUGUUGAAAACUCUAAAACUAUACUAAAGAACUUAAAAGAAAACUAAGAGGAGCUAUAUAGCAUAUCACUGGUUGAGAAUAAUAAUCAAGAUUGUAUAGAUGUCAAUUCUCUCCAAAUCUUUAAAUUUAAUACAUACCAUUAAAAAUCUCAAUAACUUUUAUUUUUAGGAAUUUGGCAAGUUGAUUAUAAAACUUAUUUGGAAGAAUCUGAAUAUGAGAAUAAUAAAACAUUUUAAAAGAAGAUCAAUAAAAAUAACUUGUACUUUUAGACAUCAAAAUGUACUAUAAAGUCAAAGUAACUGAGAAUGUGUUACUUGUGUUAGAAUAGAUAAAUACAGCAGAACAGAAUAGAAAGGUUAGAAAUGGACUCAUCUGUAUAUGGGAUAUUCAAAUUGGGUUGGCACAAUUGAUUAUUCAAUUGUUAAACAAUUUAAAUCUUGGCUGGGCACGAUGGCUCAUGUUUACAAUCUCAGCACUUUGGGAGGCCAAGGCAGGUGGAUCACUUGAGGACAGGAGCUUGAGACCAGCUUGACAAACGUGGUGAAACCCUGUCUCUACUAAAAAUAUAAAAAUUCGCUAGGCAUGUUGGUGGGUGUCUGUAAUCCCAGCUACUCAGGAGGCUGAGGCAUGAGAAUCACUUGAACUGGGGAGGUGGAGGUUACAGUGAGCUGAGAUCGCACCAUUGCACUCCAGCCUUGGCAACAGAGUGAGACUUCAUCUCAAAAAAAAAAAAAAAAAAAAAAAAAAAAAAAAAAAAUUGGCCUUCGGACUUCUCUGGGGCCAGCAGUCGCCCGACUAGGGGCCUGGGGCCACGGGCUCAGCCGACUACCUGGACUCCAUGUCCAACCAACAGUUUGCAGGAGGCUGCGCCAAGGCGGCAGAAGAGGCGCCCGAGGAGGCCCCGGAGGAUGCGGCCCGGGCGGCGGAUGAGCCUCAGCUGCUGCAUGGUGCAGGCAUCUGUAAGUGGUUCAACGUGUGCAUGGGGUUCGGCUUUCUGUCCAUGACCGCCUGCGCCGGGGUCGCGCUCGACCCCCCAGUGGACGUCUUUGGGCACCAGAUUAAGCUGCACACAUGGAGGGCUUCCGGAGCUUGAAGGAAGGUGAGGCCGUGGAGUUCACCUUUAAGAAGUCAGCCAAGGGUCUGGAAUCCAUCCGUGUCACUGGAUCUGGUGGGGUGUUCUGUAUUGGGAGUGAGAGGUGGCCAAAGGGGAAGAACAUGCAGAAGCACAGAUCCAAAGGAGACAGGUGCUAUAACUGUGGAGGUCUAGACCAUCAUGCCAAGGAAUGCAAGCUGCCACCCCAGCCCAAGAAGUGCCACUUCUGCCAGCGCAUCAGCCAUAUGGUAGCCUCAUGUCCACUGAAGGCCCAGCAGGCCCGUAGCACACAGGGAAAGCCAACAUACUUUCGGGAGGAAGAAGAAGAAAUCCACAGCCCUGCCCUGCUCCUGGAGGCCCCAGAAUUGAGCCCCAACGAGUGGGGGCUAUUCUUUUAUCAGGAAGUUUCCAGGAGCAGGCAGAGUGGAGAAAGUAGGAAUAGGGUGCAUUGGGGCUAGUUGGCACUGCCAUUUAUCUCAGGCUGGGGUUCACACCAUCACCCUUUCUUCCCUCUAGGUCGGGGAAAAGGAUGAGUCAAAGGAACUCCAUUCAUGCUCUGUCCAAAUGCAAGUGAGGGUUCUGGGGGUGACCAGGAGGAGGGAAUCACCCUACAACCUGCGCACUUUAUCUGAGGCUCCAUCCCCAGAAUUUCCAGCUAUUGAAAGUGGCCUGGAUAGGGAAGUUGUUUUCCUUUUAAAGAAGGAGGUAUAAUAAUAAUUCCCAUGCCAGAGUGAAAUGAUUAAGUAUAAGACCGGAUUCAUGGAGCCAAGCCGCUACAUACUGUGGAAGUGAAUCUCUCAGGAAUAUCAGGCAGUAUUUUUUUUUCCACGUCUUAUAUCCUCAUACCCACUUUUGGGAUAGGGUGCUGGCAACUGUCCCAAGCAAUGGGUAGUGAUGAUGGCAAAAAGGGUGUUUGGGGGAACAGUUUCAGACCUGCUGCUCCUACACUCUCCCCGCCCUAUUCUGGGACAAAGUGAUUUGAUUUAUUUGCUCCCUUGGAUACUGCACCUUGGGUCCCACUUUCUCCAGGAUGCCAACUGCACUAGCUGUGUGCAAAUGACGUAUCUUGUGCAUUUUAACUUUUUUUUCCUUAAUAUAAAUAUUCUGGUUUUGUAUUUUUGUAUAUUUUCAUCUAAGGCCCUCAUUUCCUGCACUGUGUUCUCAGGUACAUGAGCAAUCUCAGGGGUAAGUCGGCAGCAGCUCCAGGUCUGCACAUCAGGAAUACUUUUUGUUGUUUUUGCCACUGUGGAGAGCAACUAUUUGGAGUGCACAGCCUAUUGAACUACCUCAUUUUUACCAAUGAGAGCUGGCUUUUCUGCCAUAGUGUCCUCUUGAAACCCCCUCUGCCUUGAAAAUGUUUUAUGGGAGACUAGGUUUUAACUGGGUUGCCCCAUGACUUGAUUGCCUCCUACCGGAAGAUUGGAAAUUAGUCUAAACAGGAAAUAGUGGUACAGAGAGGCUAGGAGAGGCUGGGCCAGGUGAAAGGCCCAGAGAGGAAGCCAAGAUUAAGUGAGGGUUGUCUAAUCCUAGGGCACAGGACGGGCUUUACAUCCCAGAUCCAUUCUUCACCAGAUUAGACAAGGCCUACCAUGCACAACAGGGUGUGUGUGUUCAUAAAACCGGAGUUGGUAAGGAUAAGUUUUAAGACCAGUACCCCUGUACUUAAUCCUGUGCUGUCAAGGGAUGGCUAUAUGAAGUAGGAGGGUCUAAAAUUCUAAACCUGUCGAAAUUCUUGGGUUCCAGGAAGACACACGAGCAGGGCUUUGUGGUGCCUGGGGCCGGUGUCCUGCCCUGCUGCAGUAGUGAUUCCUAGUGUCACGGUGGCUAAAGGAGAAAGGGGGUUUCGUUUACAUGCUGUGAGAUCACCGCAAAUCUACCUCACUGUGUUGAAACGGGACAAAUGCAAUAGAACACGUUGGGUGGUGCGUGUCUGAUCCUGGGUUCUUGUCUCUCCUAAAUGCUGCCCCCCUCUAGUUAUUGUAUUUGUCUGGGCUUUGUAGGACUUCACUUUUUUGGUGAUUGCUAGGUGGCCUAGUUCGUGUAAAUAUAAUGUAUUGGUCUUUCUCCAUGUUCUUUGGGGUUUUGUUUACAAACUUCUUUUUGUAUUGAGAGAAAAAUAGCCAAAGCAUCUUUGACAGAAGGUUCUUCACCAGGCAAAAAAUCUGAAACAUUAGUUUGUGGGGCCCUCUUCUUAAAGUGGGGAUCUUGAACCAUCCUUUCUUUUGUAUUCCUCUUUACCUAUCAGACCAGAUCUUCUGUCCUAAAAAUGUGUCUUCCACCCUGCCCUCUUUUCUGUUCACCCCCAAAAGAAAACCUACACACCCACACUCAUAUACAUUUAAUGCUUGGAGUGUCUCCACAACUUUUAAACAAUGUAUGCAAAAAUCCAGAAGAAGCUAGAAACCCUCCAUUCUUUGUUCCAGCCUCCUGAAUCAAGACCAAUACAUUUGUUUUGGUGAGCCACCAUGUCUGGCUGAACAUUUCUUGAUGUAUUCAUGACAAACACUUAAGACACUGCUGUAGGCUGGGCGUGGUCCCUUAUGCCUGUAAUCCCAGUACUUUGGGCAGCUGAGGUGUUGGAUCACGAGGUCAGGAGUUCAAGACCAUCCUGGCCAACACGGUGAAACCCUAUCUCUACUAAAAUACAAAAAAUUAGCCAGGCAUGGUGGUGUGUGCCUGUAAUCCCAGCUAUUUGGGAGGUGGAGGCAGGGGAAUCACUUGAAACUGGGAGAUAGAGGUUGCAGUAAGUUGAGAUCGUGCCACUGCACUCCAGCCUGGGUGACAGACCAAGACUCCGUCUCAAAAAACAAAAACAAAAAAAGACACUGCUGUAUUUUAGAUGGAUCAGACUUACUUAAUUUUUAAUCCUAAAGUAGAGAGAUACAAUUGGGGGCCUUCCAUAUAGAAAGUGGGGUCAGGAGGCCAAGAAAGGGAAUAUGAAUGUAUAUCCAAGUCACUCAGAAACUUUUAUGCAGGUGCUAGAAACUUAUGUCAAAGUGGCCACAAGAUUGUUUAAUAGGAGACGAAUGAAUAUAACUCCAUGUUUACUGCUAGAAACCAAAGCUUUGUGUAAAAUCUUGAAUUUUUGGGAGGGAGGGUAGGAAAGGCUGUACCUGUCUGUUUUUUUCCUGAUCCCUUUCCCUCAUUCCUAAACUGCAGGAGAUAGAGCCCCUUUGGGCUUUAGUGACCCCAUCACUGGGGUGUGUUUAUUUGAUGGUUGAUUUUGCUGCACUGGGUAUUUCCUUUCCCAUUUUCUAAUCAUUUAUUAACACAUGCUGACUCUUCCCUUCCCUUCUCCUUUCCCUGGAAAAAUACAAUGAAUAAAUAAAGACUUAUUGGUACUC